GGGUCAGUAGGUUGGUCGUGCCACCGGUACGUACUGGUCUCACUGAUUCCUCCUUCCUGAAGAACGUAAUGCCAUUAAUUUGGUGUUGCGGGGAAACAGGACUGUUACUUUGAAAAAAUUAGAGUGUUUAAAGCAAGCUAACGCUUGAAUACAUUAGCAUGGAAUAAUGAAAUAGGACGAUCGAUCCUAUUUUGUUGGUUUCUAGGAUUGACGUA
rnacentral:rRNA from 1 species